CUUUUACUGCCCAGUCCCAUGACUGGCCCCUGCCAUGCUCCCAUUGGCUGUGCAGCCGGUUCCUGCGGCUGGGACCUCACUGUGUCCGUCUGAAGAAUGCUCUCCCCCUUGUUAGGAGCUGGGAAUGUCUGAGCUGAGAGCCCUGGUCCCUCCCAACCCAAAGCAUGAUUCAUUUCCCUGUAUCCCCCGGCCCGGGUGUCAUCUUACACUCCUUAUAUAGCCUGGGAGCCGGGGAGAGCUGGCAGGACUGGGAGCCUGUACUCCUUCCGCCUGCUGCCUUGGGUGAGACUGUGGGGGAGCAAGCUGGGGUGCAUGGAUCUCCCCUAGGAGCAGCUAGUGAUAGUGGGUGACCUUGUGCCCUCUCCUUACUGUAGAUACUUAGGAAGGGAGGGGCGGGUGAUUAAUCUGAGCAGAAUCCCUGUGUUUUCUCUAAUGCUCUAUAUGACAAGAUCUGGGUUUCAAAAGCUAUAGACCAGUUUUUAAGAGACCUUUAAUCCAACAGUGAUACCCCUUUAACACCCCCUCCUCCCCCUCAUGAACAGAGGGAGCCCCUAUAGAAACUUUUUUUGUGGGUAACUAACUAUAUUGUGGAGGUGUCUUAUCUAUGUUCUAACCUGCUUUAUUAUAAUUUUUUUUUUUUUUUUAAUCUGCAGUUUUGUGACAUGGAGGAUUACAAAGUAACUCUGGAUGGACCUGCUCCUUGGGGCUUCAGACUGCAGGGGGGCAAGGAUUUUAACAUGCCCCUUUCCAUUUCCAGGGUGAGUGAAUGACUACUGGC